rnacentral:misc_RNA from 1 species
GGAAGUAAAAGUCAUAACAAGGUCUCCGUUGGUGAACCAGCGGAGGGAUCAUUACAGGACUCGCAAGACUCCUACAACCCUGUGAACUUAACUAUAAGCACGUUGCCUCGGCGGGUGUCUCGGAGGGGGUUCUCCCUCCCCGAGACGCUAAACCCGCCGGCAGCCUACUAUACUCUGUCUCUUUGCGUUGGCAUCUCGAGUACAAUCAAACAAGUUAAAACUUUCAGCAACGGAUCUCUUGGUUCUG